rnacentral:rRNA from 1 species
GAUGAACGCUGGCGGCGUGCUUAACACAUGCAAGUCGAACGAAGCACUUUAACCUGAUUCUUCGGAUGAAGGUUUUUGUGACUGAGUGGCGGACGGGUGAGUAACGCGUGGGUAACCUGCCUCAUACAGGGGGAUAACAGUUAGAAAUGACUGCUAAUACCGCAUAAGACCACGGAGCCGCAUGGCUCAGUGGGAAAAACUCCGGUGGUAUGAGAUGGACCCGCGUCUGAUUAGGUAGUUGGUGGGGUAACGGCCUACCAAGCCAACGAUCAGUAGCCGACCUGAGAGGGUGACCGGCCACAUUGGGACUGAGACACGGCCCAAACUCCUACGGGAGGCAGCAGUGGGGAAUAUUGCACAAUGGGGGAAACCCUGAUGCAGCGACGCCGCGUGAGCGAAGAAGUAUUUCGGUAUGUAAAGCUCUAUCAGCAGGGAAGAAAAUGACGGUACCUGACUAAGAAGCACCGGCUAAAUACGUGCCAGCAGCCGCGGUAAUACGUAUGGUGCAAGCGUUAUCCGGAUUUACUGGGUGUAAAGGGAGCGUAGACGGCUGUGUAAGUCUGAAGUGAAAGCCCGGGGCUCAACCCCGGGACUGCUUUGGAAACUAUGCAGCUAGAGUGUCGGAGAGGUAAGUGGAAUUCCCAGUGUAGCGGUGAAAUGCGUAGAUAUUGGGAGAAACACCAGUGGCGCAGGCGGCUUACUGGACGAUGACUGACGUUGAGGCUCGAAAGCGUGGGGAGCAAACAGGAUUAGAUACCCUGGUAGUCCACGCCGUAAACGAUGAUUACUAGGUGUCGGGGAGCAAAGCUCUUCGGUGCCGCAGCAAACGCAAUAAGUAGUCCACCUGGGGAGUACGUUCGCAAGAAUGAAACUCAAAGGAAUUGACGGGGACCCGCACAAGCGGUGGAGCAUGUGGUUUAAUUCGAAGCAACGCGAAGAACCUUACCUGCUCUUGACAUCCCGGUGACCGGCAUGUAAUGAUGCCUUUUCUUCGGAACACCGGUGACAGGUGGUGCAUGGUUGUCGUCAGCUCGUGUCGUGAGACGUUGGGUUAAGUCCCGCAACGAGCGCAACCCUUAUCUUCAGUAGCCAGCAAUUCGGAUGGGCACUCUGGAGAGACUGCCAGGGAUAACCUAGAGGAAGGUGGGGAGGACGUCAAAUCAUCAUGCCCCUUAUGAGCAGGGCUACACACGUGCUACAAUGGCGUAAACAAAGGGAAGCGAGCCUGCGAGGGUAAGCAAAUCUCAAAAAUAACGUCUCAGUUCGGAUUGUAGUCUGCAACUCGACUACAUGAAGCUGGAAUCGCUAGUAAUCGCGAAUCAGCAUGUCGCGGUGAAUACGUUCCCGGGUCUUGCACU